CCUGAUCAUAGACUUUGCUGUUUGAGAGGCUGAGGCUGAAGGAUAUCUUGAGUCCAGGACUCAUCAGCUUCAAUAUGCCAUGCAAACAGGGUAUCUAUACUAAAUUUGGGAUCAAUAUGGUGAACCACUGUUGAAUGGGAGAACACCAGAUUGCUUAAGAAGGGAUGAACUGUCUCAGGUUGGAAACAGAACAGGCCAAAACUCCCGUGCAAGUCAGAAGUGGGAUUCUGCCUGUGAAUGGUCACUGUACUCCUGGCCUGGGCAAAAUAGUGACAU
ensembl:misc_RNA Metazoa_SRP Metazoan signal recognition particle RNA